rnacentral:rRNA from 1 species
GACAGAGGGUGCAAACGUUGCUCGGAAUUACUGGGCGUAAAGCGCGUGUAGGCGGACUGGUGUGUCAGGUGUGAAAUCCCUGGGCUCAACCCAGGAACUGCACUUGAAACUGCCAGCCUUGAGUGUCGGAGAGGAAGGCGGAAUUCCUGGUGUAGAGGUGAAAUUCGUAGAUAUCAGGAGGAACACCGGUGGCGAAGGCGGCCUUCUGGACGACCACUGACGCUGAGACGCGAAAGCGUGGGGAGCAAACAGG